rnacentral:rRNA from 1 species
UACGUAGGGUGCAAGCGUUAUCCGGAAUUAUUGGGCGUAAAGAGCUCGUAGGCGGUUUGUCGCGUCUGCUGUGAAAACUGGGGGCUCAACCCCCAGCCUGCAGUGGGUACGGGCAGACUAGAGUGCGGUAGGGGAGAUUGGAAUUCCUGGUGUAGCGGUGGAAUGCGCAGAUAUCAGGAGGAACACCGAUGGCGAAGGCAGA